CCAGUGUGGCUACCCCGGAAGGUCACUGUCCCCAGGCUCUGUCCAGGUGGCUCAGGGGAGCAUAGAGCUCUGCCCAGUGAUGUGCAGUCCCAUUCUACAAUGUCGGAGAUGACGCUGGGCCUCGAGCCUGCACCUGCAUAUUCCUAUAGCUUCUCAGAGUCCUGUGGACAGUGCCUGAGUAGAUAAACCAUGCAGGAAACAAUC
rnacentral:snoRNA from 1 species